rnacentral:rRNA from 1 species
GACGAACGCUGGCGGCGUGCUUAACACAUGCAAGUCGAACGAAGUGGCGAACGGGUGAGUAACGCGUAAUCAACCUGCCCUUCAGAGGGGGACAACAGUUGGAAACGACUGCUAAUACCGCAUACGGAAGGAGGGGAUUGCGUGUGAUUAGCUAGUUGGAGGGGUAACGGCCGGCCAAGGCGAAGAUCAGUAGCCGGUCUGGGGGGGUGAACGGCCACCUUGGGACGUGGACACGGCCCAGACUCCUACGGGAGGGAGCAGUGGGGAAACUUCCGCAAUGGACGAAAGUCUGACGGAGCAAAGCCGCGUGAGUGAUGACGGCCUUCGGGUUGUAAAGCUCUGUUAAUCGGGACGCGGUACCGGAAUAGAAAGCCACGGCUAACUACGUGCCAGCAGCCGCGGUAAUUC